rnacentral:lncRNA from 1 species
GCUUAUAAAAUGGAACUGAAGACACAAUCAUCUCUUUGGACUUGCUUCCUAAUGCUGGGCUUGCUGUCCCCCCUGUGCCAGUCUGUGUCGGUCCACUUCCUGAGCCCCAAGCCACUGUACGUGGUCCAGGGUGACACCCUCAUUCUGCGCACCGAGAUUGACAUCAGAACCAAAGAGGUGGUUCCCACGGUGAUUUGGGAGUACGUGCCGACCCACGCCAAACAUCCGACGCGGGUUAAGGUGGCGGAGUACCCGGAGCAGUCGCCGAGCGGCCGGGUGACCAUGGAGGAGCAGGGAGCGGUGCUGAAGAUCACCAACUUCGGACCUGGCGACAGUGGGGUCUACGCCAUCAAUGUGACGGACCACGUGGGACAAGUAGCCUCUGCUCAGCAUGUCGUUGAAGAGUACUUGCCGGUGCACCACGUGUCCGUGAUGGUGAACGUGUCUCACACCUCGCUUCACUGCAUGGAGGCCUGGGGCACCGAGCCUGUCUUCAGCUGGCUGCACGAUAACGCCAAGGCGGACGGCUCACUGGGUCAGCUCUCUGCUGACAACUCCACCCUCUACGUCACGUCGCGCCUCUGCGGCCAGUUCACCUGCGUGGUCAGGAAUAAGCUGGGCCACUGCUCUGCCUCCCACAACUCCGAACCCUGCGAGAGGAAAGGGAUCGGUGGGACUGUGGCGGUAGUCUGCCUCUUCCUUCUACUCAUCAGCGCAGGGGCUCUGCUCUUCCUGCUGUGGAGGAGACGGCAAAUCUACAGAACCAGAGGAGAAAGGCUGAGGGAAGCCUACGAUGGCCCCUUAUGAGGACAUCUGGUGCACUCGCCUGCGCGCGCGCGUGUGUGUGUGUGUGUGUGUGUGUGUGUGUGUGUCCUCAGAAAUCCCGUUCAGACACCCAGAAUCCUCAGGAAGGGGUUUCCUGUUUGGGUCUGCAUGGUGACCUCAGACUGCUGCAGAAAACAUACACACCCAACACGGAUCAGUGUGGAGCGGAUUGCUUGGCAGCAGUGUGAAGUUCUCUGGCAAAGGAGUGAACAUAUAUCAGACUUCUCCAUUCUUUUGGGUGAUAUUAUUAGCAGCUUAUUUAUCACAACAUCUGUUGUUUGUUUUAGACAAUGAUUAUGUCAGUAUUACUGAAUGUGCUAACAGUUAUGUCAAUGUUGUUCAACAUCACAACCGUGAAAAGAAUCAGUUUUUGUAGUAAUCGCUGCUAAUUGUUCAAGACAUUUAACACUGGAAAGUAAAAGUCUUGCAUUAAUAUCCUGCACUUGUAAAACAGAUAAGCAUAGGGUUGCUUUUUUAUUGUAAAAUGAAGCAUGGUCAGUAGUGUACAGCAUUAUAUUUUUUUUAUAGUGGGUUUGGUAUGGCGACAGUGGUAUUGUAAUGGCUGGGGGAUGAUAUGUUCAUUUUAUAUAUUGACCCAUAUAUUGAUGUAGGUGGACAAAUUACCCAUUUGCAUUGGCAAAAACACACAUUAACUUGUUUGAGAUGAGGUCUGUUGUUGCUGAUGGGCCAGCUGUUGAGCCUCACCCAUGAUGCCUUGCAGAAGUCAAAACAUGAUCUGUCAGAGCUAGUAGACCUAGUGCUUACAUCAUACUCCUGCAGCCAUUAGUGGUGAAUAAAUGUACAUGUAGGUUUGUAUUCA